ensembl:lncRNA
UUAUGAAAACAAUUCAUACCAAUGUAGCGUUCACCCCUGUAAACAAUUUGCAUGAUGAUGUACAAGUGAAGGAGAUCCACAUUUCAAACAAGCGCAUUAGUUUGCACAAUUCCUCACCUCAGUUACCUUUGCCCUUUUCUUCAAAUGGAGGCACAGUAACAGGAGAAAGAUGAUUAAGGAGUUGGGCAAACCAAAUUAUGAUCUCCCUAUCUAGCUUGUUGAGGGGUCGGGGCAUCUGAUCAAGGCCGGCUACCGCUGCAGCAGAGGCACGGGAGCCGGCGGCCGCUUCUGCUGAGGUAUGGUUGGCAGUUGCUCCAGCUGAGGCGCGGGGGCCAGCUGCUUCUGCUGAGGCAUGGCUGGCAGUUGCUCCAGCUGAGGCGCGGGCCACUUCCAUAGAGGCAUGGUUGGCAGUUGCUUCAGCUGAGGCGCGGGCCGCUUCCGCAGAGGCUCGGGGGCCGGGGGCCGCUUCUGCUGAGGCAUGGUUGGCAGUUGCUCCAGCUGAGGCGCGGGGGCCAGCCGCUUCUGCUGAGGCAUGGUUGGCAGUUGCUCCAGCUGAGGCGCGGGGGCCAGCCGCUUCUGCUGAGGCAUGGUUGGCAGUUGCUCCAGCUGAGGCGCGGGGGCCAGCCGCUUCUGCUGAGGCAUGGCUGGCAGUUGCUCCAGCUGAGGCGCGGGCCACUUCCAUAGAGGUAUGGUUGGCAGUUGCUUCAGCUGAGGUGCGGGCCGCUUCUUGGUUGGCAGUUGCUCCAGCUGAGGCGCGGGGCCAGCCGCUUCUGCAGAGCUAUGGUUGGCAGUUGCUCCAGCUGAGGCGCGGGCCGCUUCUGCUGAGGCAUGGUUGGCAGUUGCUUCAGCUGAGGUGUGGGCCGCUUCUUGGUUGGCAGUUGCUCCAGCUGAGGCGCGGGGGCCAGCCGCUUCUGCAGAGCUAUGGUUGGCAGUUGCUACAGCUGAGGCGCGGGCCGCUUCCGCAGAGGCUCGGGGGCCGGCGGCCGCUUCUGCUGAGGCAUGGUUGGCAGUUGCUCCAGCUGAAGCGCAGGGGCCAGCCGCUUCUGCUGAGGCAUGGUUGGCAGUUGCUCCAGCUGAGGCGCUGGGGCCAGCCGCUUCUGCUGAGGCAUGGUUGGCAGUUGCUACAGCUGAGGCAUUUGUCCCGGCGUCACACUUGCCAGAGUAUUGGUGCCAGUAGCUUUAGCAUUUGGAACAGACACCACACUUGCUUGGGAUCCAGAUGGUUCAGGUCCAGUGCAUGCAGGAUGCCCAUAAGCAUCACCUAGGAAACAAAACAUUAUGGUAAAACGCCAGCCUUAAGCUAUUGGAACUAG